rnacentral:lncRNA from 1 species
AUAAUUAAGAAAUCGACUGACAUAUAUGUUCUUGAGAGCUGAUUUUAGAGUUGAUCAUGUUUUGGCGAGCUAAAGACAAAAUACAAGAAAUUGACCCCACAAACAGCCAAUUCUUGAAUGCAAGUGGAAUAGCUGGUUGAGAGUGCAUUUCCUCACAUAGUUGGACAUAGAGGCUGCAGUUUGUGAGCUACUCACCAAAAUUUAACGUCAAAUUAUAAGAAAUGCUGAGGUAGAUUCAGUUUACCCCAUCAUGCACAUAUGAUAUUUCAGCUUUUGGGCCCCUCAGUUGCCAAGCAAAUGUGACAUUGCCAUGUGUUACAGAGGACUAUGUGGGGUUCAGAGUUCAAACUAUGCGAGGGGCCAUUUGCUUGUAGGCCUAAGGUAAGGGAUCAUGUGCCACAUGCAUGGAACUGUGGACAAUAUGAUAGCCAUGGUUGGUCCUAGUAUCAUCCAUCAAUUGCCAGUGGCUGAAAGAACUUCUUGGUACAGUUGGGUCUUUUGGUUUGGAGCUAAUUCCAGAAGCUUUGAGUGGUCGCAUACUCAUCAUUUAUGAUGCUUUGCAUUGAAAUAUUGGCUGAAACAUAGAUGGCAUGGCCAAGAGGGAACUAAAGGAAACACAGCAUCCACCAAGGUAAGAUUACAAUAAGAUCUUGACAAUUCCUUUUUGAAUUUCCUAGUACUUAGAUACAGCUAUGUAGAGAAGAUAUUUUCUUUGUGAUCUAUGAAAGUGAAAAGAGAGGCAUUGACAAAAUUAUCCACACAAAGUUCCCUGUAGUACUUCUUUUUGCCCCUUUUUCUUCCUUUUAAACAUUUCACUCUAAAAUUGUUGAAUUAAGAAGAAAGUGAUCCAAUGCUAACCUUGUUGAGUAUAUGUUUCAUUAUCAUAUUGAACAGAACACAAUAGCUACCCAUAUUCAUCCAAGAGCAAAGAGUGAAAACAGAAAAAAGAGAGGUGAGAGGGAAGUUGCUUUCACCAUAUCAGUCAACUUAUCUUGUAUUUAGCAAUCAAUUAAUGGCUAAUAACUAAAAACUAAAAGGUUACUGUUUGUUAUGCAGUGCUGGUUUUGGCAAACAUCCACAUCUCUGGACCACUAACCUGUGGAGCACCUUUCAAGUACUAUUUUCAUGUUAGGUAACAUGGUUUGUAUAUUAUGGCUCCUAUACAUUUUCUCAAGUUAAAAGGACUGGUGGGUGUAGCAUAAUAUUGUCAACCUUUCAUCCUACAUAGGAUAGUUCUUGAUCAUUGUUACUGUGUGAUGGAUAAGGAAGUUAUCCACAUCAAAGGUCUAUGUUAUCUACAUGCUUCACCAUAUGCAGAAACUAAGAAGCUUUUUGAACCUGCAAAUGCAAUUUUCUAAUUAUGUCCGAUUAUUCCUUCUUUUCGUCUGUUAUUUAUAUCUUUUUGCAAACAUAACCACUGCCUUUACUUUUCUGAAGAAAAGCCACGUGUUGAUUUGUGGUGAACUUCUUAAUAUAAUGACAGUAAGUUUAAGUGUUAUAUUUCUCAAGUUUUAAUUUCAGACAACUUUUUAUAAGCAAGUUUUUUUAAAUUUUAAUCAGUAUAACAAGCUGACUAGAUAGGUUUAACCCUCUAAAAAGAAAGUAAACUAUUCACUAAUCAUCUAAUCUUAAAUUUAGAAGUUUAAAUAGUAAUUUGGAUUUGAGAUGAAAGGUAACCAAACAAUUCUCUUUAAAAUUUAAAUUAAAACAUCUAACCUACUUUGUUAUGUUAUUUAUCUAUUAUUUAUGGCGUGUUAUUUAUUAUUUAUGACGUGUUAAUUCAGCAAUUUAGAAGAAAAUUGUCCGUAGUGUGAAAAGAAAAUAACUAAUUAUAUGUGUUGUUACUAGAGAUGAGCUGGAAUCAUCUGAGGUGUACAAGUGGAUUGACCUCUACGUUUGAAGAGUUGUCGAGCUUUGAUGAUGAAAACCGAGUGGUAAUCCACCUCCAAAAGAUUUUUCGACGCUCAAAUUAAAAGAGUAAUAUUUAAGUGAGUAUGUGAGAUUGAGUUGAGAUGAAUAUACUCCCUAAAAUUAUAUUUAUAUUUAUAAGUUUUCAUUAAAAUAUUUGUACCGACUAGUCCUCGGACAUUGACGUCAGGGAUCGACAUCGGACCUCACUUACAGAGGGAGAGAUCGGACGUCAGUGGUCUGAACAACUAUAUUGAGCCACGUGAGAUGGGCCCCAGAAUUACACCAGUUACCAGCUAAAACAUCAUAUAUGAGAGGAAGCCCUAAGACACGAGGGAUCCAUGCAGGUGGUAUGUAUAUAGUCCUUGGAGGCGCUAAGGCCCGUUAGGGUUAGGGUUUCCAAGGGAAGGUGCAUGCAUGACAAGUGAAUACUUAGGGCACCCACAGAAUAAAUGGCCCCAGAGAUUUGGUGCACAAGUUGGUACCCAGGCGACCAUUCUGUUAGUCGUUGCACUCCAGUUAAGGGAAGUUCCAUGUGCCAGAUUACGCUAAGAUUGUGUAAUAGCGGCGCAGGGACAUUCUCCAAGGAACCCUAGACACGGGUAACAGAACAAAGGUAAACCCUAGUUUCAACCUAUAUAAAGGGGACUAAGAACCCUAGCAAGGCACACCGUUUCUAAGACUGAAACUACUUGAUACACUUAUUGUUUCUUUGUCCUAGUACUGACUUGAGCGUCGGAGUGCAAACGGCCGUCAAAGCGCCCUUUGUCUUUGCAGGUGAGAGAUUCUUCAACCAAGGAAGUUCGAUUCUCAGGCGGAGAUAGGCGGGCAAGAGACUGUCGUUCGAGUCAACCGGCAAAAACAAUAUUCAAUUAACUUAUAUCUGUUAUGAGAUAUCAAACCGAUUUUAACAGCAACCAAAACCAAAAUCAAUUGUUUAAAGUAUAUGAUCUAUGCACUUCUAUAUGUGGUUAAUGUCCACUAUCGCAAGUGAAUAUUAUGUACUCAAUAUUACAACAUCAAACAUGAUAUUAAAAUGGUUCAUAAAUUUUUGUUGCUUUGUAUUGUUUUAUCCACAUCUAGUGUUAUUUUAAGUAAUUUAAUAUUCAAUCUACUUUUUUUUUAAUUUAGACUUGAUUUUAAACACUUAAAAUUAAUCAUAUUUUAAUUGAUAAUUUAUUUACUGGUUUAUGUAUCUUUUUGUGUAGCGAAUGAGUUUGUAGUGCAUGUUUUAUAUGUUAAAAAUGAAAUCUAUUUAAGAUAAUUACUAAACGAGUAAAUCAAUUUACAAGUCUUUGUAGGUGCAGUCUUAAAUAGGUUGACUGAUUUGUACCUGUAUGGAUAAAGAGGGACAUAGACAGUACCUGGAACUGGUUGUACAAUUGUUGAUUUGUCGGUAUCCUUUUUACUCCUUUCUUCAAGUCUCCUCCUUUUGUUAUUGGUGCUUGGUCGAGGUGGACCUGAAAAAGGUACUCUGACGCUCAAGUAAGUACUCUGUGUAAAAAGUGUAUAUUGUAAAGUUGAUAAAAUCGUACCUUACAUCUUUGUAAAGAGUUUAUUUAUAGUGUUUAAUCAUGGACCCUUGUUGUGAUAGGCCGAGUUAAUCAAAUAUCAGUUGCUAACUGAUUUAUAGCAUGAUCCCUUAUUUAUAGGGAGGUAUAUUGGUAUAUUGGUAUGUUGGUAUAUUGAUGUCACCUGGAUUUGGUAGGACAUAAUCAUAAUUCGUAGGGAAUUUCCAUAAUUAUCAUUGUUGUCAUUUAUUGAGUGCCUUUAAUAUAUAUUAAUGCGGUCAAUCGGUCAUCGAGACCGAGUGACAUGGCUUGUCCGGUACCAAUCGGUACACUUGCCCCCAAGCUUGAGGAAUGUUUACUUUAGAAAAGUCUAGAUGAGAUUGUUGGUUGCUUCAAGGUAUGAAGUGACUUUUUUGCCCUUCUUUGAUUGUUGACCAAAUGACCUUAAUGCUUUUAAUCUUUUCAAUAGUUGUUCGAAUGUCUCUAUUGACACUUCUAUAGUCUUAACAAUGUAUGUCGAACGAUCGUUAGGACUAAGAUCCUUUGAGUUGCUUUAUAAUUUUAAAUGUUGAGCAUAUGCUAUAACUUAAAUAAGUUGAUCCUUCACUAGAUUGAAUGUCCACUUGAUACUUGAAUCAAAAUAAUUUAAGUAAGAUGACUCUUUAACAGAUUGAAUGUCGACCUAAUACCUGGAUCAAUAUGAUUUAAAUAAGCUUUGUCGAGCUUUAAAUAAGUCAAACACCGACCAGGCAUUGAGGAUUGUCGUUUUAAAACAGUUUCCUUAAUCGAAACAAACUUUAUUUUUACCAUUUGGGAGGGAUUGCCUCAAGGGCAAAACUUCCUUAGCCGAAGGGUGUAGAUUUAGGAUAUUGGUAGGGAUUGUUGCAUGUAGUGUGCCGUUCGUUCGGGAAGGGCUACUAAUUGUUAAGAAAACUUCCUUGACCAAAGAGUUUCAUGUAGUUUAAGUAAGCUGCCUUGAUCGAAGAGUUGCAUGUAGUGGAAGGACUACUAAUUGUUAAGCAAGCUACCUUGACCAAAGAGUUCCAUGUUCGGUUGGUAAGGGUCGCUAGUAGUUAAGCGGCUGCCAUGACCGAGCGGUUGAUCGAGAAGGGUCACUAGUAGUUAAGCGACUGCCAUUACUGAAUAAUAGUCGUUCGAUCGUUAAGGGUUGUUGGUAGUUAAGCGGCUGCCUUGACCAACCGGUUGAUCGAUAAGGGUCGCUAGUAAUUAAACGACUGACAUUACCGAGUAGUAUUUGUCGUAGCCACAAUGAGAUGAGGAGGUUCCACCUGUUGUCAAUGUAGUAUAUAUUGCAGAGAAUAAUACUUAUCUUAUUUUGGGAGUCAUCCUUUAUUUAUAGAGUUUUUCCUGAUGUCCUCCCAUUCGUCUUUUUUUAACGAGAAUAAUAUGACAAUAGAUUUAAAUGAUAAUAAUCAUAUAUGUUAUCUUCAAAAUAAUAUGAUAAAAUAUUUAAAUAACAACAAUUAUAUUUGUUAUCUUCAAAAUAAGAUCCCAAAAGAUCUAAAUGAUAAUAGUCAUAUAUGUUAUCUUCAGAAUAAUAUGAUAACAUAUUAAAUGUAUAUGUUAUUUUCAUAAUCUUGACCUAAGAGUCUUUGGGCAUCAGGAGGGAUUGCCAUGUUAAGGCAAAGAUUCCUUGACCGAAUGGUGUUGUCGUAGUCACAAUCUGAUGAAGGGGGUCCCAUUGUUGUCAAUACUCUAAUGAUCAAGUGGGUAAGAGCAUAACAUACAUCAGUGUAGUAUUUAUUGCAAAGAAUAAUACUUCUAUUAUUUUUGGGAUUCAUCCUCUAUUUAUAGAGUUUUGCCUGAUCUCCUCCAAUUCGUUUUUUUUUACGAGAAUAAUAUCUUGACAGAUUUAAAUGAUGAUAGGCAUAACAUAUUUAAAUAACAACAACAAUAUUUGUUAUUUUCAUAAUAAAAUCUUUAACAAAUUUAAAUAUACACUCUUUUCACAGAGUACUUACUUGAGCGUUGGAGUACCUUUUUCAGGUCCACCCCGACCGAGCACCAAUAACAAAAGGAG